rnacentral:rRNA from 1 species
GACGAACGCUGGCGGCGUGCUUAACACAUGCAAGUCGAACGGAAAGGCCCUGCUUUUGUGGGGUGCUCGAGUGGCGAACGGGUGAGUAACACGUGAGUAACCUGCCCUUGACUUUGGGAUAACUUCAGGAAACUGGGGCUAAUACCGGAUAGGAGCUCCUGCUGCAUGGUGGGGGUUGGAAAGUUUCGGCGGUUGGGGCUGGACUCGCGGCUUAUCAGCUUGUUGGUGGGGUAGUGGCUUACCACGGCUUUGACGGGUAGCCGGCCUGGGAGGGUGACCGGCCACAUUGGGACUGAGAUACGGCCCAGACUCCUACGGGAGGCAGCAGUGGGGAAUAUUGCACAAUGGGCGGAAGCCUGAUGCAGCAACGCCGCGUGCGGGAUGACGGCCUUCGGGUUGUAAACCGCUUUCGCCUGUGACGAAGCGUGAGUGACGGUAAUGGGUAAAGAAGCACCGGCUAACUACGUG